rnacentral:rRNA from 1 species
AUUGAACGCUGGCGGCAUGCUUUACACAUGCAAGUCGAACGGCAGCGCGGGCUUCGGCCUGGCGGCGAGUGGCGAACGGGUGAGUAAUUCAUCGGAACGGGCCCAGUAGUUGGGGAUAGCCCGGCGAAAGCCGGAUUAAUACCGCAUACGACCUGAGGUUUAAAGCGGGGGACCGAAAGUCCUCGCGGUAUUUGAGUGGCCCAUGGCGGAUUAGCCAGUGUGUGGGGUAAAGGGUUACGAAGGCGACGAUCCGGAGCUGGUCUGAUAGGAGGACCAGCCACACUGGGACUGAGCCACGGCCCAGACUCCUCCGGGAGGAGGCAGUGGGGAAUUUUGGACAAUGGGGGCAACCCUGAUCCAGCCAUGCCGCGUGCGGGAAGAAGGCCUUCGGGUUGUAAACCGCUUUUGUUCGGGAAGAAAUCCUCUGGGCUAAUACCCCGGGGGGAUGACGGUACCGGAAGAAUAAGCACCGGCUAACUACGUG